rnacentral:piRNA from 1 species
UGAACCAUCCUGGCCCUGCUAUUGCCACAUC